rnacentral:rRNA from 1 species
CACACGNGUUACAAUGGCAGGUACAGCGGGAAGCCACCCGGCACGGGGCGCAGAACCCGAAAACCUGUCUCAGUUCGGAUUGGAGUCUGCAACCCGACUCCAUGAAGCUGGAUUCGCUAGUAAUCGCGCAUCAGCCACGGCGCGGUGAAUACGUUCCCGGGCCUUGUACACACCGCCCGUCAAGCCAUGGAAGCCGGGGGUGCCUGAAGUGCGUGACCGCAAGGGACGCCCUAGGGUAAAACCGGUGACUGGGGCUAAGUCGUAACAAGGUAUC